rnacentral:lncRNA from 1 species
UGAUGAGGACUGGAAUACUCAUCAGCGCUGUGCUUAGUAAUCCAAGCCUAUUUUACCUUGUUAUGAUUACUGUUAUUAUUAUUAUAUAAAUAAACUAACCAGCGCAGGUUUAACUAAAGACUCGGGAUAAUAAAUGAAUACGAAGAGCCUGCGCAGCCGAGAGGUGCCAACGCAGUCGAAGAUGCCUAAAGAGCCCGCUCCACCAGAGACGACAUGCCAGAGCAGAGCAGCGUAGAGCUGCGCAGCCAGAGCAGAGCAACGCGGACCAGAGCAGCGUAGAGCUGCGCAGCUAGAGAAAAACAGCGCAUACCAGAGCCGCGCAGCACAGCAGCGCAGCCAAAGUGCCUUUCCACGCAGCCACGAAUGAUGGUUCAGCUUGGAGAUUAAGAUCAUUGUACUAAGUUUUGGGCCUAAACCCAAUUAUUAGAGUUCGUGGGCUUAAGGCCUUUAGGGUUCAUUCUCACAGUUAUAAAUAGGGGAAUCAAUUCAUUCUAGCACACUUCACUUGUAACAUGUAAAAUAGUCUUGAGAUAGUGAAACCAACGAAGAACCUCCCGUGGACGUAGGUCUUGAUGGCCGAACCACGUAAAUCCGUGUGUCAUUUAUCGCUUUCUAAUUUAUAGUUUAGGUGUUGGUGAUUCCGUGCUUCACCAACUGGCGCCGUCUGUGGGAAAAUCGAGCUAAGGCGUGAGAUUCAUGGUUUUCCAGUCACUGUUCACCGGUUUACUGUUCAUCGCAAAAAAAAAAAAUGGAAAUCUCAGCUCCAAUUCAGGAAAAUCGGGAGAAACUUGCACAGAUCCAGAUCGGAUUAAGAAAAUUCAGAAAGGGCUUAUGGUUUCCCGGAUCCAGAAAGGGCUUAGGGUUUUACUUGAUUGAAAUUAAGAAAAUUGCUAGAUCAGUUCAUCCCGCAAGGGAAAAAGAGGAAUUCGAAUCAUGUCCGUGGUGCUCCUUCAUUCUCCAUAUUCUCCGGCCGGAUUCCUUCAAUCCUCCGGCGACAAUCACUGGGUGCCGCCCACCGCCGCUGCGCAGGAGCUGCGCAUACCACCGGCCACAGGCCAACUCAGUGGAAUAACUCGAGGACAAGAAGCCCAGUGGAAUCCCUCCAUCAGCGGAGAUCGCUGAAAUAACCGCCGCCCACUCAGAAAAUCCGACAGCCACCGCCGCAACUCUUGAAUCCAGCGAGGCCAGAGCCGGUCGUCGUCCCACUUGAGCCCGAAUCCAGCGAAGAAAAUUUCAAAUCUCGCAGCAAUUCCCGAUUUCCAGAAACAAAAUCUAACCCCAAAAGCUUUUCUAAAUCCUCUCAUUUGAAAUUUCUUAAGGGAAGUUUUCAGAAAUCUUCUAUGUCACUUUCUCUUGCUAAAGGCACAUGUCUCUCUCUUUCAGGAAGAGAAAAAACUGCCACGAAAACCUUGAAGAUUAUACGAAGAAUUUUGGGGAAAAUAAUGCUUGGGCCGGGUCCGAUCACCGCCGCCCUCCUCCGGCUGAGCACCGAAGAAGCUCUCCACAGGUGGUAAAAGACCUGCCACACUCCGCCAGCAAGGGCAGGCGAGGUUCGCCGUUCCGCUGUAUGCUCGACUGAACAACGCAGCAUGAUCUUCCCCUCCCUAAGCUAAGGCUUUGUUGAAGUGCGAAAAGAAUUUCAAUUUAGCUGUUGCGUCUUCGCUGACGAGGAAAGAUAAGUUAUCGAUAUCUCUAAAUUUGGUUUCAUCUUGAAGUGAUCAGGGAAGGAUGCAAGUCGAAAUUGUGUUUGCGGUUAUUCUCUUUUGCAAUCUGUUGAUUUCAUUUUUAUGAUGCAAUAUACUAAAUGAUGCAUUUGCCUCUUUGAGACUUGAUUAUGGGGUUGUAGUAAGAUGGACUAUUUCGUUGGUAUUGGGGGAUUUUAUCUAAUUCUUAAGACGAAAGUUUGAUGGUCUAUUGAGCAUGUUUGUAUGAUUGUUGGAAGGGAUAAGACAAAUGUUGAUUGGUAUAUUGUGUUUUCUAAUUACCUGUGGCUUCGAAGAAAGUUUGGAAGUUAUUCGUUGUUUCACGAUUUCUGAUUAUGUUUAUCUUACGAGCUGCACAUUUGGUUUUUUCUUACUCGGGCUAUGAAUAAACGUUUAAUUAUCGUGGGACAUAGGUGCUGAUCCGGGCAUGAUAAAGUGCUCAAAGAGUGGAGUAUCUGGUGGUUAACAGUGUUGAUUAUACUUUAAAUUUGUAAAGCAGUUUUUCAUUGAAUUAUGAAUCAUUUACUAUGACCUCGUAGCAUGUGAUUGUUACAAGCCUAACUUGGAUCGCUUAAUGAAUAUAUGGGUGGACUUGUUGUAUGAAUAAAGUCGGAUUGAUAUCCUAGACUUGGUUGAUUUUAUCUUUACAUGACUGGGAUCUAUUUCUGAAAUUUUGCUUAUACAUUUAUGCUAAGCUAGUUAUUGUUAGUCUGUCAUGAAUAUCGAUCUGUGGGAUUAUGUUUGAUUACGUUGCUUAAAGCCUACUAUUUAGGAUCUGAAUAUGUAGUUUAAAUAUCAACGUUGACAUUCUUUUAAUAGUACCAGCGCAUGAAUUAUAUAUAUAUCUAUGUACAGAUUCCUGAGUUUAUGAGCUUGAUAUUGUUAUGGUGUUCUUCUGGUUCCGGGCUUGAUAUAGCGGUGGUUUGGCUCAAAGUUUGGACUGAUGGUUAUGAUUUGGCUUUGAUCUUAGCUCAGCGCUGAAGAGGGCAGCGCAGGCGAGGGCCUUUGAGGGCAGCGCAAGCAUGGUGGUAAUCCUCGAGGGCAGCGCGCGCAGGUUCAUGGGUUCAUGGAGACGCACCAGAGGGCAGCCUCAGUCGCGCGAUUGAGGAGAAGCUCCAGCGCAGCUCUUAGCAUCUGAAUUCCGGCGUCGUUUCUCUCUUUGAGACGUAGCUCCGUCAAACCAGCCCACUUCGCCGGCGCAGCCAUUGAUUUCUCAAUUAAUUUCUUGCCGAAACUCAGUGUCCUAAUUUUCACUCAAUUUUACUUACGAUUUCUUGUGGUUUUUGUGCAAGGGCAUUUCAUUAUCCCAAUAUUGAGCAAAGCUCGAAAACUUAAGGGAAUUGGUUGUCGAGCAAUUGAUGAAGCUCUUGGAUUAUCAGUCGUAAAGGCAGAUGUUACCAUCCCAUCCAUCAUCGCAGGAGGAUGUCUAUAGCAUUCGCUCACGAACAUUAAGGCAACCGCUUACCUUUUGCCAGCGAUCCUCACGUCAGCGCAGGAACAUGGCAGUCGGCCCUUUCGACUCAACUGAACAGGGCAGCUGACCCUCCUCCAACAAAAGCUAAGUCCUCGCGUCUUCUCCUUUUAUUGCAUAAACACAAUGGUGAUUGCGUACUAGAUAACAUUUGUGGGGUUGUGAUUCUCUUAACUGUUUAUGAUGAGACGUGGAGUUUGCCACUUGCACUAAAGAGAUAGAUAUGGUGUUAUGCAACGAUGAUACUAAGCACUAGUUGAUACUACUAAACUGCUAUGUACUCGCUUUAUAAGCUAUAUGGUGGGAGUCCUUAUAGCCUUUGGUUCUAAAACCAAUGAGAUACAUUGAAUAUGAAUCAUGUUUAAACACUUGAAUAUUGGUUUAAUUGGUCGGGAUAUGGACAUAACAUGGUGUCAGAUGGGAUUUCGCUUAUAUAGCAGUGCUAAUUCUGCUCUAAACUGAUGAAGCAAUGUUGCAUGGAUGGUGAAUUGUUUAUUGUGACUUGCAUUAUUUUGGAAAUACUUUGUGGAUUUCUUGGAAUUAAAUUGAACUACCCUGACCUCACUAAUUCACUUACUGACAUCGAUUUGUUGAGGAACACAUUAUCUAAAUUUUUGAACUGAAAUUUACACUCAUGUUACCUAAAUUAUGAGAAAUUGAUGUGGCAGCGUUGUUUUGUGUUUUUCUAUACUCUCAGAGCAGAGCUGGUGUUGGAGCUAGGAGCUUGUUGAACUUCCAAGUGUCAUAUUGGACAAGUCUUCAAUUUGGCUGUUACGGCACUCCAGCCUGCGAGCUUUAUUAAAGUCUUGAUACGAAGAGGUUUUCCAGUAUCACAAGAAGCACAGGAAUAAGCUGUCAGUUUCCAACCAUGACCCAGCACCGUUAUUCAGCGCAGGAAGAGGCUGUCAGUUUCCCACGCUGACUCAGCAUCAUUAUUCAGCGCAGUAAAAGGUUGCCGGGUUCCAGCGUUGCUUGGGAAUUCUCAGCGAAACGAAGGAAUAUGCUGCGCAGGUAGGGAGAGAGGUAGUUCAUCGGCUCGCCGAAGCAGCGCAGGGAAGGAGAGAGCAGCUCAUCAACUACACUGGUGCAGUACGCUGAUGCAGCGCAGGUAGGGAGAGAGGUAGUUCAUCGGCUCGCCGAAGCAGCGCAGGGCAGGAGAGGGCAGCUCAUCGACUGCGCUGCUGCAGUGCACUGACGCAUCGCAGAGAGGGAGAAGGGAAGUUCAUCAGCUCGCUGAGUAUUAAGCUCUCAGUGUUCAGUGCUACAUUCAAUAUUUUAUCAAAUGCAUAUUUCCUGUGGGUGGUGAAAUUCAUAUCAGUCUACUACUCUUUAUUUUUGGGUACUUAGUAAGUUGAUGGAAUUGUGAUUUUUUAACUUGGGAUUCAAUUAAAUUUGCAACGCAUUUUCUUGUGAAAAUGGAUCAUGGUUGGGGUAAAUGAAAUGUAAUUGUUGUUAUUGCUGAUAUCUUGUUGUGGUGGAAUUCAACUCUUAAAUCUGGACAGGACCAAACGAAUGAUGAUUUAAAAUUUAUUUCUUAUUCAUAUGAGAAUAUGUUACGAAGUUGAAAACUAAUUGUGAUUGUUCGUUGAUGAAUGCGAGGAUCAUGCGAAGGAAGAUACAACAGCAAAGGAAAAGGAGGAAUUAGUGGAAUAACAAGAUGAAGUAAAAUUAUUAAGCUGCGCAGGAAUGAAAGCAAGAAGAGUUACUAAAGCUGCGCUGCAUAAUUUUCUAAGCGGUGCUGCGGGAUAUCUAAGUUGGUCUUCAACACAGGAACUCUACAUCCCAGCACAGAAUGUCUAAGCCGUAAUGUAACAAAGGUAACCCACUAACUAGUGGUGAUCCAGGUACUUCGCAGAACUGAAAUUUCUCACUACAUGAUCUUAAGGUGUCUCAUCGAAGCAUGUAAGUAUGAAUGAAACAUGAUGUUAAGUUACUUCACCAAAGCAUGUAAGUAUGAAACAUGAUCUUAAGUUAUUUCAUCGAAGCAUGUAAGCAUGAUUGAGAUUUGGGAAAUGUUAUACUUUACCACUUGAGAAAAAUCAUGAUUUAAAUUAUCUCUUGAAGGGAUUUGAGAAUUUGAUAUUAUGUCUUGGAAGCUGCACACCUUCUGCAUAUGUGCCUAGGUCUGAAACAUGAAUUGACUAAGUAUACGAAGCUGCACACCUUCUGCAUAUGUGCUAGAGCCUGGAACAUAAUUUAGAUAACAUACUUUGGGAUCAUAGAGUCAUACUAGCUCUGUCACUAGCAUCACAAGUAGGAACACCAAUCACAAGCAUACACAUAACAUGUUUUGUUGAAUCAUGCACAUGUUACUAAGAGGGAGGGAGUGGGAUAUAUGUUGCCAUCUGUAUUUUUCUUGAAAAUUUACAGCACAACAAUAAUUGUUGACAACGCUGGAAAACCUGCUUCGGCAGAAAAUGAGCUUUAGUGGCAAUUCAGCCACGCUACGGAGGGGAAAGCCUUAAGCAGAAUUUGGGUCUUCUCAGCGCAGUCAGGAUAUUUAUCUCAGCUACCUCUGCGGCAGCUCACCUCAGGGCAGCUAUCUCAGCUAUCUCAGAGCAGCUAUCUAGUUAUCUCAGCUACCUCAGGGCAGCUACCUCAGCGCAGUUAUCUCAGCGCAGUCAGGACAUUUAUCUCAGCGCAGCUAUCUCAGUUAUCUCAGUAGUUUUCAGCGCAGAAUGUCCGAGCCGUUGUCAGUUCAGAAUGUCUAUGCUCCGCGCAGGAAUAUCGUAAGCCGCGAAAGUUAGACAGGGUUCUUUGAUUGUCUAUGCUCCGCGCAGGAAUAUCGUAAGCCGCGAAAGUUAGACAGGGGUGUACCAUCUUAAGGGCCGCGUUGCGGAAGUGUACCAUCUUAAGGGCCGCGUUGCGGAAGUGUAAUCUUAAGGGCCGCGUUGCGGAAGUGUACCAUCUUAAGGGCCGCGUUGCGGAAGUGUACCAUCUUAAGGGCCGCGUUGCGGAAGUGUACCAUCUUAAGGGCCGCGUUGCGGAAGUGUAUCAUCUUUGUCAGUGCAGGUAGUGCAGCGCAGUCAGCGCGGGGUUGUCAGCGCAGUCGGUGCAGCGCAGUCAGCGCGAGGUUGUCAACGCAGAUCACUUGAGUCUUCCCAGCACAGGUUAUCUAAGCCCUUAUUAUCUUUAAUGAUGUUCGACGAAUCAAAAGGAAUAAUUGCUAUCUCUUUUAUCUCAGCUUAUUUCCAGCAUUAAAAUACUUUGUCUUUAUCAUUUUUGCAAAGAUUGACAGUUCUUGUCUAAUAAGUCGCAGGGAAUCGUGUAUGCUUAAUUGACACGGGAGAGCAGCACAGCGCUGACUUCACACCACACACCACUAGUUGAACAAAGAGAACGCUGUUCAACUAGACUAGGGGGGAGUAGCUGAUGAGGACUGUAAUUCCCAUCAGCGCUGUGCUUAGCAAUCUAAGCCUAUUUUACCUUAUUAUUACUAUUAUUAUUAUUAUUACAGAAACUAACAGCGCAGGUACGAUCGGAUAUCUUAGAUAAAAGAGUAAGAAAUCCACCUAAGUAGAUGGAGUGAAGAAUGAUUGCACACAGAAACCUUCCCACGCAGCCAAGGUGCCUUCCUGCGCAGCCAAGUAGCUUUCCCGUGCAGCCGCGCAGCCAAACCAGAGCAGCGCAGCAGAGCAAGCAGCGCAGACAGAGCAGAGCAGCGCAGACCAGAGCAGAGCAGCGCAGACCAGAGCAGCGCAGCAGCCCUGCGCAGACAGAGCAGCGCCACCAAAGUGCCUUUCCUGCGCAGCUACGUAUGAUAGUUCAACUUCGGGAAUAAGACCAUUGUACUGAGUUUUGGGCCCAAUUGACUAGAUGAGUGGGCUUUUUAGAAUUAGGGCUUGCUCACAAACUAUAAAUAGCACAUCUAUUGGAAAACUAGAGGAUCAACUCAUUUCAAGCAACACACUUGUAAUAUGUAACACUCUCUCAAGUAUAGUGAAACCAACGAAGAACCUCCCGUGGACGUAGGUCUUGAUGGCCGAACCACGUAAAUCCGUGUGUCAUUUAUCGCUUUCUAAUUUCUAGUUUAGGUGUUGGUGAUUCCGUGCUUCACCAACUGGCGCCGUCUGUGGGAAAAUCGAGCUAAGGCGUGAGAUUCAUGGUUUUCCAGUCACUGUUCACCGGUUUACUGUUCAUCGAAAAAAAAAUGGAAAUCUCAGCUCCAAUUCAGGAAAAUCGGGAGAAACUUGCACAGAUCCAGAUCGGAUUAAGAAAAUUCAGAAAGGGCUUAUGGUUUCCCGGAUCCAGAAAGGGCUUAGGGUUUUACUUGAUUGAAAUUAAGAAAAUUGCUAGAUCAGUUCAUUCCGCAAGGGAAAAAGAGGAAUUCGAAUCAUGUCCGUGGUGCUCCUUCAUUCUCCAUAUUCUCCGGCCGGAUUCCUUCAAUCCUCCGGCGACAAUCACUGGGUGCCGCCCACCGCCGCCGCGCAGGAGCUGCGCAUACCACCGGCCACAGGCCAACUCAGUGGAAUAACUCGAGGACAAGAAGCCCAGUGGAAUCCCUCCAUCAGCGGAGAUCGCUGAAAUAACCGCCGCCCACUCAGAAAAUCCGACAGCCACCGCCGCAACUCUUGAAUCCAGCGAGGCCAGAGCCGGUCGUCGUCCCACUUGAGCCCGAAUCCAGCGAAGAAAAUUUCAAAUCUCGCAGCAAUUCCCGAUUUCCAGAAACAAAAUCUAACCCCAAAAGCUUUUCUAAAUCCUCUCAUUUGAAAUUUCUUAAGGGAAGUUUUCAGAAAUCUUCUAUGUCACUUUCUCUUGCUAAAGGCACAUGUCUCUCUCUUUCAGGAAGAGAAAAAACUGCCACGAAAACCUUGAAGAUUAUACGAAGAAUUUUGGGGAAAAUAAUGCUUGGGCCGGGUCCGAUCACCGCCGCCCUCCUCCGGCUGAGCACCGAAGAAGCUCUCCACAGGUGGUAAAAGACCUGCCACACUCCGCCAGCAAGGGCAGGCGAGGUUCGCCGUUCCGCUGUAUGCUCGACUGAACAACGCAGCAUGAUCUUCCCCUCCCUAAGCUAAGGCUUUGUUGAAGUGCGAAAAAGAAUUUCAAUUUAGCUGUUGCGUCUUCGCUGACGAGGAAAGAUAAGUUAUCGAUAUCUCUAAAUUUGGUUUCAUCUUGAAGUGAUCAGGGAAGGAUCAAGUCGAAAUUGUGUUUUGCGGUUAUUCUCUUUUUGCAAUCUGUUGAUUUCAUUUUUUAUGAUGCAAUAUACUAAAUGAUGCAUUUGCCUCUUUGAGACUUGAUUAUGGGGUUGUAGUAAGAUGGACUAUUUCGUUGGUAUUGGGGGAUUUUAUCUAAUUCUUAAGACGAAAGUUUGAUGGUCUAUUGAGCAUGUUUGUAUGAUUGUUGGAAGGGAUAAGACAAAAUGUUGAUUGGUAUAUGUGUUUUCUAAUUACCUGUGGCUUCGAAGAAAGUUUGGAAGUUAUUCGUUGUUUCACGAUU